rnacentral:rRNA from 1 species
AUGACGUACCUGUCACGGACGCUCUCCCGGGCCGGCCUGAUGCAGCCGUCGGGGCCUCGCCGGAUUAUGAGGACGCAGACCGCCGUCAACCUCGGCGAGCCCAUCUUUGACAGUGAGGUGGUGCUGUCGUCGCUCGUGGAGAUCGCACCCAUCCUCCGUGUCGCCAAAGAGGUCGAGACGGGCAACCCCCGCAUCGCCUACCUCUGUAAGCUACCAUUCCUCUCCUCUGGUUUUUUCAGCACUGCUACACGGAUACUGUCAGUCAACACAACACUCUGCUAA